rnacentral:rRNA from 1 species
CCUACGGGUGGCAGCAGUGAGGAAUAUUGGUCAAUGGGCGGGAGCCUGAACCAGCCAAGUAGCGUGCAGGAUGACUGCCCUACGGGUUGUAAACUGCUUUUAUACAGGAGUAAAGUGAGACACGUGUGCCUUUUUGUAUGUACUGUAUGAAUAAGGAUCGGCUAACUCCGUGCCAGCAGCCGCGGUAAUACGGAGGAUCCGAGCGUUAUCCGGAUUUAUUGGGUUUAAAGGGAGCGUAGAUGGGUUGUUAAGUUAGUUGUGAAAUUUUGCGGCUCAACCGUAAAAUUGCAAUUGAUACUGGCAGUCUUGAGUACAGUUGAGGUAGGCGGAAUUCGUGGUGUAGCGGUGAAAUGCUUAGAUAUCACGAAGAACUCCGAUUGCGAAGGCAGCUUACUAAACUGCCACUGACAUUGAUGCUCGAAAGUGUGGGUAUCAAACAGGAUUAGAUACCCGGGUAGUC